rnacentral:rRNA from 1 species
UACGUAGGGUGCGAGCGUUAAUCGGAAUUACUGGGCGUAAAGCGUGCGCAGGCGGUUUGGUAAGAAAGGCGUGAAAUCCCCGGGCUUAACCUGGGAAUGGCGCUUGUGACUGCCAGGCUAGAGUGCGUCAGAGGGGGGUAGAAUUCCACGUGUAGCAGUGAAAUGCGUAGAUAUGCGGAGGAACACCGAUGGCGAAGGCAAUCCCCUGGACCUGUACUGACGCUCAUGCACGAAAGCGUGGGGAGCAAACAGG